rnacentral:rRNA from 1 species
GGGGAAUCUUCCGCAAUGGACGAAAGUCUGACGGAGCGACACCGCGUGGGUGAAGAAGGCCUUCGGGUCGUAAAGCCCUGUCAUUAGGGAAGAAACGUAGUGGGAAUAAUACGCCUAUUAUUUGACGGUACCUAAGGAGGAAGCCCCGGCUAACUAUGUGCCAGCAGCCGCGGUAAUACAUAGGGGGCGAGCGUUGUCCGGAAUCAUUGGGCGUAAAGGGCGCGUAGGCGGGAAUACAAGUCUGUUUUUAAAGUUCAGGGCUCAACCCUGUGAUGGACCAGAAACUGUAUUUCUUGAGGGCAGGAGAGGAAAGUGGAAUUCCUAGUGUAGCGGUGAAAUGCGUAGAUAUUAGGAGGAACACCAGUGGCGAAGGCGGCUUUCUGGACUGCAACUGACGCUGAGGCGCGAAAGCUGGGGGAGCGAAC